CGCCUGUUUAUCAAAAACAUUUCCUUUUGAUGUUAGUAAAAGGUAGUCCCUGCCCAGUGCAACUAGAGUAAUGUUUGUUGUAAACGGCGGCGUUAACGUGAGCGUCCUAAGGUAGCGCGAUAAUUUGCUUUUCAAUUGAAGGAUGGUAUGAAAGGGUUAACGAAGAAGGUGCUGUGUCUAAAAAUUUAAUUUAAACUAACUUUAAGGUGAAGAGGCCUUUAUGUAAAAGAAGGACGACAAGACCCUAUGAAGCUUUAUCUUAAUUGGAGCUUUCAGGCUCUUAUAGGAUUUUGAUGGGAGAUCAGUAGAAAUAAGUCUUCUACUAUUAUAUUAAUCUUACUAGUAUUUCCUAACUUUAUAUGUGUGGCUAGCUACUCUAGGGAUAACAGCGCAAUUUCUCCCGAAAGAUGGUAUUGGAGGGGAAGAUUGCGACCUCGAUGUUGGCUUUAGAUACCCUAGAGGCGUAGAAGCUUCUGAUGGUGGGUCUGUUCGCCCUUUAAAAUCUA
rnacentral:rRNA from 1 species